ACCCCCGGCUCAAGGCACGAGAUACCACACAAACACAUAGUAAAGCACAGAACAAGAUUACAUAACAUAAAUACGGCAUCCAUAAGUAAUAUACAACAGAGGAAAGCACACAGAUUCGUAAUGAAACAUGGAACACGGAAUCAUAACAGGAAUAAAACCCCCCUCCAAGUAAUUCCCUACCCUAGCGACCCAAACUGGCCCUAAUCCUCUGCCGUAAUUCGCGUCUUCCAGGCCUUCCUAUCUAGGGUCAUGUCCUCGGUAAGCUGUAACUGUUCCAUGUCCCGCCUAAUCACCUCACCCCAGUACUUCUUCGGCCUACCCCUACCCCGCCUAAAACCAUCCAACGCUAGCCUCUCACACCUACGGACCGGGGCAUUCAUGCCCCUCCUCUUCACGUGUCCGAACCAUCUCAAUCGAGCUUCCCGCAUCUUGCACUCCACUGGCGUCACACCAACCUUCUCCUAGAUAGUCUCAUUCCGAACUCUAUCCCCUCUAGUUAGCCCACACAUCCAGCACAAUAUCCGCAUUUCUGCCACCUUCAUUUUUUGAAUGUGGGAGUUCUUAAC
rnacentral:lncRNA from 1 species